AGUGAGGAAUAUUGGACAAUGGGCGGGAGCCUGAUCCAGCCAUGCCGCGUGCAGGAAGACUGCCCUAUGGGUUGUAAACUGCUUUUUUACGGGAAGAAACACCCCCACGUGUGGGGGCUUGACGGUACCGUACGAAUAAGGACCGGCUAACUCCGUGCCAGCAGCCGCGGUAAUACGGAGGGUCCGAGCGUUAUCCGGAAUCAUUGGGUUUAAAGGGUCCGUAGGCGGGCGUCUAAGUCAGUGGUGAAAUUCUGCAGCUCAACUGCAGGACUGCCAUUGAUACUGGUCGCCUUGAAUUAGUGUGAAGUGGCUAGAAUAUGUAGUGUAGCGGUGAAAUGCUUAGAUAUUACAUAGAAUACCGAUUGCGAAGGCAGGUCACUAACACUAUAUUGACGCUGAUGGACGAAAGCGUGGGGAGCGAACAGGAUUAGAUACCCUGGUAGUCCACGCCGUAAACGAUGGAUACUAGCUGUCCGGCCUGCAUUGGUAGGCUGGGUGGCCAAGCGAAAGUGAUAAGUAUCCCACCUGGGGAGUACGUUCGCAAGAAUGAAACUCAAAGGAAUUGACGGGGGCCCGCACAAGCGGUGGAGCAUGUGGUUUAAUUCGAUGAUACGCGAGGAACCUUACCAGGGCUUAAAUGUAGUCUGACAGGGGCGGAAACGCCCCCUUCUUCGGACAGACUGCAAGGUGCUGCAUGGUUGUCGUCAGCUCGUGCCGUGAGGUGUCAGGUUAAGUCCUAUAACGAGCGCAACCCCUGUCGUUAGUUGCCAGCAUGUAAAGAUGGGAACUCUAACGAGACUGCCGGUGCAAACCGUGAGGAAGGUGGGGAUGACGUCAAAUCAUCACGGCCCUUACGUCCUGGGCCACACACGUGCUACAAUGGCAGGUACAAUGGGCAGCCACGCCGCAAGGCGGAGCGAAUCCACAAAACCUGUCUCAGUUCGGAUCGGGGUCUGCAACUCGACCCCGUGAAGCUGGAAUCGCUAGUAAUCGGAUAUCAGCCAUGAUCCGGUGAAUACGUUCCCGGGCCUUGUACACACCGCCCGUCAAGCCAUGGAAGCUGGAAGCACCUGAAGUCCGUCACCGCAAGGAGCGGCCUAGGGUGAAGCUGGUAACUGGGGCU
rnacentral:rRNA from 1 species